GGCUCCUUAGCUCAGCCGGUUAGAGCGACGGAAUCAUAAUCCGCAGGUCCCCUGUUCGAAUCAGGGAGGAGCCACCA
rnacentral:tRNA from 1 species